UACGUAGGUGGCAAGCGUUGUCCGGAAUUAUUGGGCGUAAAGCGCGCGCAGGCGGCCUCCUAAGUCCGAUGUGAAAGCCCACGGCUCAACCGUGGAGGGUCAUUGGAAACUGGGGGACUUGAGUGCAGGAGAGAAGAGUGGAAUUCCACGUGUAGCGGUGAAAUGCGUAGAGAUGUGGAGGAACACCAGUGGCGAAGGCGGCAUCCUGGACCGACAUUGACGCUGAGGAGCGAAAGCUAGGGGAGCAAACGGG
rnacentral:rRNA from 1 species